rnacentral:misc_RNA from 1 species
AAGUACAACUGAUCUAUUGCCUUCUACCAGAAAAACAAUAGCCUGAGAAGAUAUAAAAUCUGGAUGUAAAUUCUUUUCUUUUCUAAUACGUUGACUUCUUCUAAUGUCAUUAGAAGAAUCUAACUUUCUUUUAUUGUUCAAAGUCGAUUCAAAAUUAAUAUCAAUACUAGAACCAUUGCUUUACUUGAACUAUUCAUGGGCUCAUGUAUAGAGUCAUUAUGAAAUUUAUUUUCAAUAAAUUCAACAUCUCUAGAUUCUACAAUUACAUUAGAGUCUAAAUUUAAAAUUCUAUAAGCUUUGGAAUUUUCGGCAUAACCAAUAAAAACUCCUUUCAAAGCUCUAGGACCUAAUUUAGUCCUUUUAGAAUCUGGAACUCUAUAAUAUGCUAAACAGCACCAUACUUUUAGAUAGUUCAAGUUAGAUUUUUUAUUUUUCCAUAAUUCAUAUGCAGAAACCUUAAAUUUUCUAGAAUAAAUUCUAUUAUGUAAGUAACAAGCAGUAAGAAAGUUUCUUCCCACAAGUUUGUUAGCAAAUUAGAAUUCACAAGCAUAGAAUUAAGCGUAUCCAUUAAGGUUCUAUUCUUUCUUUCUGGCAGCCCAUUUUGUUGUGGUAUAUAGGGUACACUAAUUUGAUGUAUAAUUCCAUUUUCUUCACAAAAUAAAGAAAUUCAAUGGAAAAAUAUUCACCACCUCUGUCACUUCUCAAAAUUUUGAUCUUUUUUCCUUUUUGAUUCUCAACUUCAAAUUUAUAAAUCUGAAACAUUUGGAAUGCUUUAUCUUUAUUUUUCAUUAAAUAAACAUAAGUAUAUUUGGAGAAAUCAUCUAUGAAAGUUAUAAAAUAUCUAUUUCCUCCUUUAGUCAAUAUUCCAUUUAAUUCACAAAUAUCAGAAUGCACAAGUUCUAAUAACUUAGAAGAUCUUUCAACUUUUGGAAAAGAUUUCUUAAUCAUUUUUGCUUGUAUACAG